rnacentral:rRNA from 1 species
GGGUUGUGAGGUUAAGCGACUAAGCGUACACGGUGGAUGCCCUGGCAGUCAGAGGCGAUGAAGGGCGUGCUAAUCUGCGAUAAGCGCCGGUAAGGUGAUAUGAACCGUUAUAACCGGCGAUACCCGAAUGGGGAAACCCAGUGUGAUUCGUCACACUAUCAUUACGUGAAUACAUAGCGUAAUGAAGCGAACCGGGGGAACUGAAACAUCUAAGUACCCCGAGGAAAAGAAAUCAACCGAGAUUCCCCCAGUAGCGGCGAGCGAACGGGGAGGAGCCCAGAGCCUGAAUCAGCAUGUGUGUUAGUGGAAGCGUCUGGAAAGGCGCGCGAUACAGGGUGACAGCCCCGUACACAAAAGCGCAUGUGUUGUGAGCUCGAUGAGUAGGGCGGGACACGUGGUAUCCUGUCUGAAUAUGGGGGGACCAUCCUCCAAGGCUAAAUACUCCUGACUGACCGAUAGUGAACCAGUACCGUGAGGGAAAGGCGAAAAGAACCCCGGCGAGGGGAGUGAAAAAGAACCUGAAACCGUGUACGUACAAGCAGUGGGAGCACCCUUUGGGGUGUGACUGCGUACCUUUUGUAUAAUGGGUCAGCGACUUAUAUUCUGUAGCAAGGUUAACCGAAUAGGGGAGCCGGAGGGAAACCGAGUCUUAAUUGGGCGUUAAGUUGCAGGGUAUAGACCCGAAACCCGGUGAUCUAGCCAUGGGCAGGUUGAAGGUUGGGUAACACUAACUGGAGGACUGAACCGACUAAUGUUGAAAAAUUAGCGGAUGACCUGUGGCUGGGGGUGAAAGGCCAAUCAAACCGGGAGAUAGCUGGUUCUCCCCGAAAGCUAUUUAGGUAGCGCCUCGUGAAUUCAUCUCCGGGGGUAGAGCACUGUUUCGGCUAGGGGGCCAUCCCGGCUUACCAACCCGAUGCAAACUGCGAAUACCGGAGAAUGUUAUCACGGGAGACACACGGCGGGUGCUAACGUCCGUCGUGAAGAGGGAAACAACCCAGACCGCCAGCUAAGGUCCCAAAGUCAUGGUUAAGUGGGAAACGAUGUGGGAAGGCCCAGACAGCCAGGAUGUUGGCUUAGAAGCAGCCAUCAUUUAAAGAAAGCGUAAUAGCUCACUGGUCGAGUCGGCCUGCGCGGAAGAUGUAACGGGGCUAAACUAUGC